rnacentral:rRNA from 1 species
GAUGAACGCUGGCGGCGUGCCUAAUACAUGCAAGUCGAGCGAACAGACGAGGAGCUUGCUCCUCUGACGUUAGCGGCGGACGGGUGAGUAACACGUGGAUAACCUACCUAUAAGACUGGGAUAACUUCGGGAAACCGGAGCUAAUACCGGAUAAUAUAUUGAACCGCAUGGUUCAAUAGUGAAAGACGGUGUUGCUGUCACUUAUAGAUGGUUCCGCGCCGCAUUAGCUAGUUGGUAAGGUAACGGCUUACCAAGGCAACGAUGCGUAGCCGACCUGAGAGGGUGAUCGGCCACACUGGAACUGAGACACGGUCCAGACUCCUACGGGAGGCAGCAGUAGGGAAUCUUCCGCAAUGGGCGAAAGCUUGACGGAGCAACGCCGCGUGAGUGAUGAAGGUCUUCGGAUCGUAAAACUCUGUUAUUAGGGAAGAACAAAUGUGUAAGUAACUAUGCACGUCUUGACGGUACCUAAUCAGAAAGCCACGGCUAACUACGUG